rnacentral:tRNA from 1 species
GGUCCCGUCGUUCAACGGAUAGGACGCACCUCUGCGGAGGGUGAGAUCCAGGUUCGAUUCCUGGCGGGACCG